rnacentral:rRNA from 1 species
UACGUAGGGGGCGAGCGUUGUCCGGAUUCAUUGGGCGUAAAGUGCGCGUAGGCGGCUCGACAAGUCGGCCGUGAAAUCUCCAGGCUCAACUUGGAGGGGUCGGGCGAGACUGUCGGGCUCGAGGUGGGCAGAGGGCAGUGGAAUUCCGGGUGUAGUGGUGGAAUGCGUAGAGAUCCGGAGGAACACCAGUGGCGAAGGCGGCUGCGUGGGCCUGGCCUGACGCUGAGGCGCGAAAGCGUGGGGAGCGAUCCGG